UAUUUCUUGUAGUGUCCUCGCCAAGAAAAUGGUAUAGAUUGCGGGUACUUUGUGAUGAGGUUUAUGAAAGAGAUUCUCAUUUCAAAACUAAAUGAGAUUCCAAAGCUGUACAUUGAGGGUUUCAAGUGUGUGACAUACUCAAAUGAUAAACUAAGAGAAAUCCAAGAAGAAUGGUGUCAGUUCAUGAUGAGCCUUUUGUUUAUAUGAUA